UUCCGGUUGAUCCUGCCGGAGGCUACCGCUAUUGGAGUUCGAUUAAGCCAUGCGAGUCUAGAGGCCUAGCCUCGGCGUACCGCUCAGUAACACGUGGGUAACCUACCCUAUGCUGGGGAAUAAGCUCGGGAAACUGAGAAUAAUACCCCAUAGUCCACUACGCCUGGAACGGUGAGUGGAUCAAAGCUCCGGCGGCAUAGGAUGGGCCUGCGGCGUAUCAGGUUGUAGGGGGUGUAAUGUACCCUCUAGCCAUCCACGCGUACGGGUGUUGGGAGACAUUGCCCGGAGAUGGAUUCUGAGACACGAAUCCAGACCCUACGGGGUGCAGCAGGCGCGAAAACUUGGCAAUGCGAGAAAUCGUGACCAGGGAACUCCAAGUGGCAGGGGUAAGACCCUGUCUUUUUCCGACUCUAAAUAGGUCGGCGAAUAAGGGGUGGGUAAGGACGGUGCCAGCCGCCGCGGUAAUACCGGCGCCUCAAGUGGUAGUCGCUUUUAUUGGGCCUAAAACGUCCGUAGCCGGUCUGGUACAUUCGUGGGUAAAUCAACUCGCUCAACGAGUUGAAUUCUGCGAGGACGGCCAGACUUGGGACCGGGAGAGGUGUGGGGUACUCUCAGGGUAGGGGUAAAAUCCUGUCAUCCUGAGAGGACCACCUGUUGCGAAGGCUCCACACUAGAACGGAUCCGACGGUCAGGGACGAAGCCUAGGGGCACGAACCGGAUUAGAUACCCGGGUAGUCCUAGGUGUAAACGCUGUGGACUUGAUGUUGGGGACGCUCCGAGCGUUCUCAGUGUCGAAGCGAAGGUGAUAAGUCCACUGCCUGGGGAGUACGGUCGCAAGGCUGAAACUUAAAGGAAUUGGCGGGGGAGCACCGCAACCUGAGGAUUGUGCGGUUUAAUUGGAUUCAACGCCGGA
rnacentral:rRNA from 1 species